rnacentral:rRNA from 1 species
GGUCGUGAGACGGGUACCGCCUGCUCAUGCUUUAAGUAAAUAGCCGCAGUAUUUUGACUGUGCUAAGGUAGCAUAAUCAUUAGUCUCUUGAUUAGAGGCUGGUAUGAAUGGCGUGACGAGAAAGUAGCUGUCUCAUAAUAAAUAAUUGAAUUUCAUUUCUUAGUGAAAAAGCUAAGAUUGUUUUGAAGGACGAUCAGACCCUUUGGAGCUUUAUAAUUUCUUUUAUGUAUAUUUAUAUUAAAAAAUAAUUUAAUAGAAAUUAUUUCGUUGGGGCGACGAAGAGUUUAAAAGUAACACUCUUUUUAUUAAACAUAAAUAAAUGUAUAAUUGAUCCUUAAAGCAAGAUUAAAAGAUUAAGUUACCCUAGGGAUAACAGCGUAAUCUUUUUAGAGAGUUCAUAUCGAUAAAAAGGUUUGCGACCUCGAUGUUGGAUUAAGAAAUUAGCAAGGUGCAGAAGUUUUGCUGGAAAGUCUGUUCGACUUUUAAUUUCUUACAUGAUCUGAGUUCAGACCCGGAGGAAUGUUCCCCCUUCUAUUAUCCUACAGGAUACCAGUUUUUGUUGGGUCAAUUUUUAUACUUUUAAUUGGUCGUAACUUGAAUACUUCUUUUUUUGUUGCAGUGGGGGGGUGGGGAUUUUUUUUUGUACGAGCAUUUAUUUUGGUUUUUUGGCCCUCUGGAGCUUUUUUUUUCUUUUGUUUUUUUGUUCUUUCUUG